GAUGAAGAACUCAGCGAAAUGCGAUACGUAAUGUGAAUUGCAGAAUUCAGUGAAUCAUCGAAUCUUUGAACGCAUAUUGCGCUCUUUGGUAUUCCGAAGAGCAUGCUUGUUUGAGUAUCAGUAAACACCUCAAAGCUUUUGGAUUUUUUAAUCGAAAAGCUUUGGACUUGAGCAAUCCCAACACCAAUCUUUUUGAGAUCGGUGGCGGGUUGCUUGAAAUGCAGGUGCAGCUGGACAUUCUCCUGAGCUAAAAGCAUAUUCAUUUAGUCCCGUCAAACGGAUUAUUACUUUUGCUGCAGCUAACAUAAAGGGAGUUUGACCGUAUUGGCUGACUGAUGCAGGAUUUCACAAGGGUCGGCAACGAUUCUUGUUAAACUCGAUCUCAAAUCAAGUAAGACUACCCGCUGAACUUAAGCAUAUCAAUAAGCGGAGGA
rnacentral:misc_RNA from 1 species